AGUGCCUGGAAUUCCACCAUCAGCGCUUUAUUCCGAGUUUCAGUGCAGACCUGGACCAGAGAGACAGAGAGCCAAGGAAGUCCACAGUGGAGAGAGGGCUGUGCUGGGGGUUCCAGGAAGACUUCCUGGAGGAGGGGAUCUUGGAGCUAGGCCUUGAAGACGAGUUUGUCAAAUGAGGAAGGGCAUCCGAAGCCGAGGGAACGGCAGAAGGGAACGCUGGGGAGGGGAGAGAAUCUGGAGAGUUCCGGAAAAAGCAAGUAGGACUCUUUCCAGAAGUUCGGGCAAGAUUUUCCCUGGAUCAGGGCGUGGGUUCUCCAGUACUCGUCCCUCCCGGUCACCGAGAUGCUCUGAGUUUCCGGUCUGAACCUGAACGUAAAGAGGUGUAGUCCCUCCUUUCUUGAACGGGAAAACUGAACGCACAUAGGUCCUUGCCACGCCUAAGGCUGCGGAGUGAGCAGAUGGAAAAUGCGGGACUCAAAACCUCCCCUCGCUGUAAUUUGCACUGCCCUGUGCCAAACUCUGUCCUUUCUUCCAUUCCUUAUUCCUAUUGUCAGCCUCGCUGCGCUAGGAC
rnacentral:lncRNA from 1 species